rnacentral:rRNA from 1 species
UUAUAGAUUAUAAUUAAAGGUCCGGCCUGCCCGAUGAUGAUUUCAAUGGCUGCGGUAUUUUGACCGUACAAAGGUAGCAUAAUCAUUAGUUUCUUAAUUAGAAGCUGGUAUGAAUGGCUUUAUGAGAAAAAUACUGUCUCUAGUUAAAUUUGUUUGAACUUUAUUUUUAAGUUAAAAAGCUUAAAUUUUGUUUAAAGACGAGAAGACCCUAUAGAGUUUGAUAAUUUAUUGAAGUUUUUAGUUUAAGAAUUUGUAUUUAUUUAAUUUUAGUUGAUUAUUUUGUUGGGGUGACGGGAAAACUUAAUAAGCUUUUCUUUUAUUUAAACAUUAAUUUAUGAAUAAUUGAUCCAUUAUUAGUGAUUAUAAGAUUAAAUUACCUUAGGGAUAACAGCGUUAUUUUUUUGGAGAGUUCUAAUCGAUAAAAAAGUUUGCGACCUCGAUGUUGGAUUAAAAUUUACUAUUGGCGCAGAAGUUAAUGGGCUAGGUCUGUUCGACCUUUAAAAUUUUACGUGAUCU